UACGUAGGGUGCGAGCGUUAAUCGGAAUACUGGGCGUAAAGCGUGCGCAGGCGGUUUUGUAAGCCAGGUGUGAAAUCCCCCGGGCUCAACCUGGGAAUGGCAUUUGGGACUGCAAGGCUGGAGUGCGGCAGAGGAGACUGGGAAUUCCUGGUGUAGCAGUGGAAAUGCGUAGAUAUCAGGAGGAAUACCGAUGGCGAAGGCAGGGUCGUCUGGGCUGACACUGACGCUCAUGCACGAAAGCGUGGGGAGCAAACA
rnacentral:rRNA from 1 species